UUUUUUUUUUUUUUGUUUUGACAAAAUUUUUUAAAUUUUUUCUGGAAAAAUUUAAUCAAACGAAGAUAGGAGGGUAGUCAAUCACACAGAAAAAAGCACAGCUAAAAGGCCAGCUCAAAAUGAUGGAGACCUUUCUCCGCCUACCAGAGUAUUAGUCAACCACUGGUCAUACAAAGGCUGCUACGGCCACCAAAAUAUCAAGAAAUAGUAGUAACAAGUCACAAUAAUUAACAAUAUGUAAUUAUAUAUUAAUAGAAGGUGUAAAAUAAAACUUCCAAUACUUUACAGCAGAUUUUAUUGCUGUCCAAAUACAACGGCAAUUGGACAACAAUAUUUUUCAGUGAUAAGGUGGUUUCCACGUAGAACGACAACACAAGAACUUAUCAGUGUAAAUAAAGUACGCAAAAGAAGAUGGAAGUACUUACCCAUUCCAGUAGAUUUUGACUGUCUAAACUCAGGUUGAAAGUCGAGUUCUUCUGACCACUUAUUAGCUCCAAAACCACAACCCCAAAGCUAAAUACAUCUGCCUUCACAGAUAGACGCCCAUGCAUGAGGUACUCAGGAGCCAUAUACCCACUGUGUCAUUGUGCACGCGUCUAUUAGAUAUGAUAUUAAAUUCAAACAGCUUAAAUUACAGUCGAAAUUAAGUAAGAAAGCUAAGAUCCUUGAAAACAUACUUUGUACCAGCUACACGGGUAUUGACAUGCGUUUGAUCUUCAGGGAAGAGGCGAGCCAUGCCAAAAUCAGCGAUUUUCGGAACCCAUUUGUCAUCUAGUAGGAUAUUGCUGGCCUUGAUAUCACGGUGGAUGAUUACGCUAUGUGAGUCUUCGUGAAGGUAAAGCAAGCCCCGAGAAACGCCAAGAAUAAUGUCAUACCUCCGCUUCCAAUCCAGCACAUCUGGUCUUCCAGACUCUGAAUCAAUACCAUCAAAAUUAGCAUCACUAUAACUAUCAGUCAUCUCUUUUCAAUCCAUUCCAACCUAGUUAUAAAGCCAAUUAAGAACAUCAUCUGCAUCCAGUGACUCUAAUGAUAUCAAUUUUGAGUGUUAAUUGCAAUCACAAGGAAGUUGACUGUUAAUUGCAAUCACAAGGAAGUUGUAAUUGAUCAUGAACUUAAAAAACAUUGGAUGCUAUGACAUACAUAUAAACUAAGGCCGUCGUAAUGUCAUGGACUGUUCCACUCACCAACUGUAGUCCAAAAUGAAAAAGCACUCGUUAGAUACUUAACAAAGCACUGUUCAGAUAUAUGAGGUAUAAAGCUAAUCAAAACUGUCACGCCAAGAUUGUGCCACCCAAUUUCAGCAGUUAUUCAAGGCUGGAGAGUGAAUGAUUUUUUUGACAAGGCUGGAGAGUGAAUGAAAAGGACUAUGAACACCAAACUAAGAACACAAAAAUACAAAUGCACACACAAGAGUUACAAAACUAGGCACAGCCAACUGAAGAACCAAAAGGUGCUUGGCCUCACCCACUCAGAUUAACAUCUUGGACUCCUUGGUCCUUUGCUCCAAAUCGAAGAAGAACCUAAAACUACCAAACAGUGAGCAAAAUAGCACUGGCAGUAAGAAACAAAAAUUACUGCUCUUUCCAGUUUAACAAGACACCAAACAGAAAAGUAUUGCUUGCACCAUUGAAGAAGAAGAACUUUCAUGGACCAAGAUUGAUGCCACAUUACAACCAAAAUUAUCAGACAAGUAACUGAAAGUUUAGGGAAAAUGAGAACAGAAGGAAAAGCACUCGUCGAUAAUGAAAUAGUGACCAUUAACUAGUACCAUACGGACUCAAACCCAAAAUUAGUAGUAAUGCACCAACAAAAUUAGUUAUACAUAAAGGGAACGCCAAAGCAACAAGCAUGCAGAACAAGAUAAUUAUGCAUGACAAUGGUCCUAAAUAAUGAACGGGUUAAAAAAAAACUAAAAUUCAAAAUUUUGUUUUCCCGUUUCUCGCUUUUCUGUUUCUCUUUCAGCUAAGGUACCCUGACUUUACAUAAUGUGGCCUUUCCCCCCUUCUCUAUAGCCAUCCCUUGCUCCUAAUUGCUCUAUGGCUGACAAAGUCUUGUGGACUGCCUCUACUUCCUCUACUUAUGCUGCUGCAACUACAUGGGAUGCCAUUUGAAUUCAUUGCCCAAUUGCACAUUGGCAUAAGUUGCUUUGGUUUCCCAUAUAUACUCCAAGACAUAUUAUUUGGAUGCCUAUUAAGAAAUUGAGAACUAAGGAUGAACUUUGCAGGCUGGGGGAUCAUUCCCUCCUCCCUGUCAACAACCUGCUCUCUUUGCCAACAAGAAAUGGAAACUACUUCUCAGUUCUCACAUCUUCUUUGUGUGCAACUAUUCCAGGAAUGUAUGGAAGCAAGUACGGUAACUAUGUGGUGUUUCUAAGGAUCCGCAUAGCUGAGUGUUGAGGUCCCUUGGCUUAUUGGGAAAAUCAGAGGUAAAUCCUUCAGCAGCAUAGUUAGGAAGCUUGCUUGAGCUGCUAUGGUUUAUUAUAUAUGGAAGAAUGGAACUCUAGACUAUAGAAUUUUCCAAGGCAUUCAAAGACCCCCUUCCUCACUCUUAGAGAAGAUUUAUUUUGAUGUUCGUAUCGACUGAAGUUCUCCAAGUUGGACGACUGAUCAAUGCAGAUGAGAGAGAUCGAUGAGAGGAUUGAAGAAGAUUGGCUGUAGAUCAACUAAGGACUAGUCGAUUUGCCCUUCUGUUUCGUUUGUGUUCGAUGGCCUAAGGUAAAAAUUUAACCUGGACAACAAAAUCCUAGGGCCGGGAUCGAUUUUGAGAGAAGCGAGUCUUUUCACGCCUCAUUGCCUAGUCUGCGCCUUAUUCAAGUUGCCUCGCCUGGGGUCAUACAAGGUGAUGGGGGUGCACCUCGCCUCACGCCUAGGUGCACACCUGGGCGUGCCUUCGACAACUAUGGUCUUGAGAUUCGUGGGUUUUGAGAUUCACACCGUAUCCUCUAGUUCCGGCCUCUGAGUGCAUUAGAAACAUGGGGCAAGUAUUAUGGCAACAAAGGAUCUUUGGCCUUCUCCUUGUACUCAUUCACUCAAUAGACAAGUAGGCACAUUGUUGAAGCUUGGCGCCUAACUAUGAUGGCAGAAAAUCAAAAUAGUAGUCACCAAUUGCAACUCUAAUGGUUUUAGAUUCAGUUUUAGUGUCCCAAUUUCAGCUCCAAUGAGAUACAAAGAAUGUUCAAAAUCC